UGGGGAAUAUUGGACAAUGGGGGCAACCCUGAUCCAGCAACGCCGCGUGAAGGAUGAAGUAUUUCGGUAUGUAAACUUCGAAAGAAUAGGAAGAAUAAAUGACGGUACUAUUUAUAAGGUCCGGCUAACUACGUGCCAGCAGCCGCGGUAAUACGUAGGGACCAAGCGUUGUUCGGAUUUACUGGGCGUAAAGGGCGCGUAGGCGGCAAUUCAAGUCAUCUGUGAAAUCUCCGGGCUUAACUCGGAACGGUCAGAUGAUACUGCUUUGCUAGAGUGCAGAAGGGGCAAUCGGAAUUCUUGGUGUAGCGGUGAAAUGCGUAGAUAUCAAGAGGAACACCUGAGGUGAAGACGGGUUGCUGGGCUGACACUGACGCUGAGGCGCGAAAGCCAGGGGAGCAAACGGGAUUAGAUACCCGUGUAGUCCCUGAGCGGGCUGGCAAGGCGCAU
rnacentral:rRNA from 1 species